CAGCUCGUGUCGUGAGAUGUUGGUUAAGUCCGCAACGAGCGCAACCCUUGUCAUUAGUUGCUACAUUCAGUUGGGCACUCUAAUGAGACUGCCGGUGACAAACCGGAGGAAGGUGGGGAUGACGUCAAGUCCUCAUGGCCCUUAUAGGUGGGGCUACACACGUCAUACAAUGGAUGGUACAAAGGGUCGCCAACCCGCGAGGGGGAGCCAAUCCCAUAAAGCCAUUCGUAGUCCGGAUCGCAGUCUGCAACUCGACUGCGUGAAGUCGGAAUCGCUAGUAAUCGUGGAUCAGAAUGUCACGGUGAAUACGUUCCCGGGUCUU
rnacentral:rRNA from 1 species